rnacentral:rRNA from 1 species
UUUAAGCAUAUAAGUAAGCGGAGGAAAGGGAACUAAAUAGGAUUCCCUUAGUAAUGGCGAACGAACAGGGAUGAGCUCGGCUUGGAAACUGGGGCCUUGGCCUUGGAUUGUAGCCUCUAGACGUAGCACCAACGGAGGCGCAGGUGUAAGCCUCUUGGAAAAGAGCAUCAACGUGGGUGAGAAUCCUGUGUUUCAUCUGCAGUCCACCGUGCACGGUGCAUGUUCUCAGAGUCGCGUUCCUCGGAAUUGGAGCGUAAAGUGGGUGGUAAAUUUCAUCUAAAGCUAAAUAUAGGCUUGAGACCGAUAGCAAACAAGUACCAUGAGGGAAAGAUGAAAAGGACUUUGAAAAGAGAGUUAAAAGUGCUUGAAAUUGCUGAAAGGGAAGCGAAUGGAACCAGUCCUCUGGCUGAGAUUGCUGCAUGCUUUUGUGUGUGGUGUUUCUCAGCUUGUGAGUCAACCUUUGUUCAUGCUUGAGGAUAGCCUCAGGUUCACGACGCUUCCCUGCGGGGUUGCUCCUGUGCUUGCAGGGACUCAGGCGUGUACUUUGCGUGACAAAAUGGUUCUCUUCGACCCGUCUUGAA